CCUACGGGAGGCAGCAGUGAGGAAUAUUGGUCAAUGGGCGCGAGCCUGAACCAGCCAAGUAGCGUGAAGGAUGAAUGCCCUACGGGUUGUAAACUUCUUUUAUAAAGGAAUAAAGUGAGCCACGUGUGCCUUUUUGCAUGUACUUUAUGAAUAAGCAUCGGCUAACUCCGUGCCAGCAGCCGCGGUAAUACGGAGGAUCCGAGCGUUAUCCGGAUUUAUUGGGUUUAAAGGGAGCGUAGAUGGGUUGUUAAGUCAGUUGUGAAAGUUUGUGGCUCAACCGUAAAAUUGCAAUUGAUACUGGCAGUCUUGAGUAUAGUUGAGGUAGGCGGAAUGCGUGGUGUAGCGGUGAAAUGCUUAGAUAUCACGAAGAACUCCGAUUGCGAAGGCAGCUUACUAAGCUGUCACUGACACUGAUGCACGAAAGCGUGGGUAUCAAACAGGAUUAGAUACCCUAGUAGUC
rnacentral:rRNA from 1 species